rnacentral:rRNA from 1 species
UAGGGAAUCUUCCACAAUGGACGAAAGUCUGAUGGAGCAACGCCGCGUGAGUGAUGAAGGGUUUCGGCUCGUAAAACUCUGUUGUUGGAGAAGAACGGGUGUCAGAGUAACUGUUGACAUCGUGACGGUAUCCAACCAGAAAGCCACGGCUAACUACGUGCCAGCAGCCGCGGUAAUACGUAGGUGGCAAGCGUUGUCCGGAUUUAUUGGGCGUAAAGCGAGCGCAGGCGGUUUUUUAGGUCUGAUGUGAAAGCCUUCGGCUUAACCGGAGAAGUGCAUCGGAAACCGGGAGACUUGAGCGCAGAAGAGGACAGUGGAACUCCAUGUGUAGCGGUGAAAUGCGUAGAUAUAUGGAAGAACACCAGUGGCGAAGGCGGCUGUCUGGUCUGCAACUGACGCUGAGGCUCGAAAGCAUGGGUAGCGAACAGGAUUAGAUACCCUGGUAGUCCAUGCCGUAAACGAUGAGUGCUAAGUGUUGGAGGGUUUCCGCCCUUCAGUGCUGCAGCUAACGCAUUAAGCACUCCGCCUGGGGGAGUACGACCGCAAGGUUGAAAC